UCAACGCUCGAUGAAAGAUUAGUGGAACUAGCUAGAUGUAGAAAACAGCUGAGGGGCGCAUCCAACCCCCUUGAAAUGGCUUCCACUGAUUUUUUAAAGAACUUUAGAUUAUCUAAAGAGCCGUUUAUGAACCUACUAUCCAGUACAAAAAACCAGUUGCAGCAGAGCACCCGAGCCAAGAGCUCUUCACUAUUCUCCAAAAAAAGCAAAACAAAUUAUUAAUGUGUGUGCAGCUUUGCACAACAUUUGCUUGUUUUAUAAUGUUCAACUUCCGGAUGAAGAGUUAUCCGAUGAGACCCUCAACGAUGAUGCUGAAGAUAUUGAAGUGGAGCCAAAUAACGGAGAAGCAGAAAACAUAGCAGCAAAAAUCUAAAAAGUAUUAAAUAGAAACCUUUACGCCACAGUUUCUGUUUUAUUUUUGUUAUAAAUUUUCUUUAUUCAAUUAUUCGUCAUUCGAAAAAAAUAUGUAUUUCAGUUCCUCUACGUAUUUCAGCCCAUACCUGCCAAGGGAAAAUAAUAAAAAAAUAAAAAUGUAUUUCUAUAAACAUCACAAAAAAAAACAUUAUUAACCUUAAUCCAUUUUGCUGCCGUUCUAACUGGUGGUCCCAAGCAAUUCAGCUCCGUUGUAAAUUCCUCGCAAAAUAUUAACAUAUAUUAACAUAUUCCUGCAUAAUAUUAACAAAAUUAGUAUAUAUUUAUUAUUUGGUUACUAUAAAACAAUAAAUAAUCGCAAACAACUUACAUUUUAACAAGUUUUCCCACAACACGCUACACAAUCGAAAGCAAAAUUGCAUUCGACUCUAAAUUCGGUAUACAACGAAAAUUUCGACAGCGUUGCACCGCUCAUAAUACCAAAUUGACAUUCGAUUUUCGAUCUUCGACAACCAACGAAUAUCGAAGAUCGAAUGCAACUCAUAAUAGGGGCCAUAUUCUUUAAAAAUAUGUUUACUUCAGUCACAAUGCAGGACAAAAAGGCUCUACAAGAUGUUUGCAUAUUUGUUGUGAUGUUGUAUGUUAAAAUAGUGGUGACCAAAGCACCUAACCAAGAUUUGUACUUCUUGAAGAUUUUAAAAGAGUACGGAAAAGUUGACGCAACAAUUUAUAGAGCUUCUUUAAACAAGUUUAGUCAUCACGUGUGGUAUUUGUGUUUAGAGGCAGUUAUUCUAUCACUGCUUGAUGAAGUUAAUAACCAACCCAAAAAGAAAAUGAUUGCAACAGGGACACAACGUCAGAUUUUAGCAAACGCUAUGACCCGUCCAAGGAAGAACUGACUCAAAAUUUUAUGAUAAAACACUGGAUGAUUUCAUAUUGGAGAAGAGCAAACAAUUUCUAUCACGGCUGCAAAUCGACGACAGUUUUCUAAACGAAGAUGUAUUUUUUUGGAAUAAUAAUGUUGCUUUUCUUUAAGCUAAAAGAAGAAUAAGGCAUUUUUGAGUUAUGAAUGAUACUGCUGAAAGGGCUAUUAAACUAAUGCAAGAUUUUAAAGGACUUUUAUCAUCAGCUUUAUGUCUUUUAUCACCUUUAUGUUUUUAAUUAA